GAGUAGUAAAAGUUAAUGUCUUGAAACUUAAAAAAUUUGGCGGUAUUUUGUCUAUUUAGAGGAACCUGUUUAGUAAUUGAUAAUCCACAACUGAAUUUACUUUUUUUAAUUUAUUUGUAUACCGCCGUCAUGAAUAUAUUUUGAAAUGAAUUUUCAUUUUUAUUAAAAGUUAUGUUAGGUCAAGGUGCAGUGUAAAAAGAAUAAAUGGGUUACAUUAGUUGUCUUAAUGAAAUUGGAUUUAAUAGUAAAAAAAUUUAGAAUUUAAUGAAUAUAGAUUUAAAAAUAUG
rnacentral:rRNA from 1 species